UUUAUGUGAGAAAAAGGUUAUACUAUCAAUCUAAUAAGCUAGAGACAAACAAUAUACAUUAAUAUAUUGAAGUAGACAUAGCAUGAAAUUUUACAUUAUAUAGUGAUGAAAUAAUUGCAUGUUUGUAAUACUUACAUCUAAAAAUAAAUGACUAAAAUUUUCAAGCUUGUAUAUGCUAUGUUCCUCUCUUUUGUUCUAUUUUUCAUUGCAACUGAAGUUAGAGGAGCAUUUUUGGAUUCCUGCAAGUCGAGUUCUGAUUGUGCUUCAACUGAUUGGUGCCAUGUUCCUUUGAAUGCAACAUGCCACUGGGGUCGUUGUUUCUGCAUUUAAUCAGCAACUGAGAUAGAUAUCUCCAACAUUUUUAUUUUAUUGUAUUUUGCUCUUUUUGUUUUUUCAUAGCUACAAAAUUAAGCAUAUUCAAUAUAUUUUGCAAGAACUUCAAUUAUAGUUCUGAAUUAAAAUUA